rnacentral:lncRNA from 1 species
UAAAGAUCAAAGUCGCUACACACGGUGCAAAUCUCUCGGUCUCUCUCCCGACGCGAGAGGCGGUUUCCAGGCGGGCUGCCUCCGCUGGUCUCCAUCGCCUCCGGUAAGCCGUCGGGCUCUCGGAGGUGUGCGGGACAGUGUACGACCGUGAUGCGGUUGUAGAUAAUGUUGUUUUAGGAUUUUAUUCUGGCACUGGCGGGCAGGCAGGGGCGACGUCAAUGCUAUGGGAUAAGGUUCCCCCUGGCUCCUUUCCCGUCUCUGCGGUGCUCCCUCCGGCCGGUGGCACUGUGGGGUUAGGGAGGUUGGCCUCUCUCUUAUCCAGCGAGGUUUGGUCGGUGAUGGGGGUGCACAAUAGUAUAGAAGUUGGGAUUUGUGGAGAGGGAUUCCCAGAUCAGGUCGCCUCGGACGGCCGACAGCUGCACACUGUUGCGGGCGAAGUGGUUUGAGUUGCGGCUCCACUCCGUCGUAGGCUACCGCUGGUCAAGGGAUCACUUGGUCUACCCCAGGCCGAUGCACCGGAACCCUCCCUGGUUCCGUCUUUUGGGGCGGGACUUAUAUGCGGCUCACAAAGCCAUGGAUCGGUGAUGCUGCUCCUCAUGCCCGUUGUCUUGUGGAUGACGGCUAGCACCGGCGAGUGCAGAGAUCAGCGUGCCUAGGUGAAUAAGGAAGAUGAACUGGGCUGUAAGUUACUUUGUUUGCUCUGUCGGUGUUAUUCCCUUUAGUGUUAUCUCUGCCUCUCUAGUUCUCAAGCUCCAACGACAUGCCCUUUUUUGUGCUGGCCAUGGAGGCUAGCAGCGGCAGGACUGCCAUGACUAGGCCGCGCAAUAUUUCUAACAGUGUUGAGCUACUCGUUCCCGACAGCUCCGAUGCCAAGCUGCCAAUAGAAGCAGAGCAGGUAUGUGUGUGAUGGAUCUUUUAAUGAUAAGUUUGCUUCCUGUUCGAUUAGGUGCAUAUUUCGCAAGGUAAUGUUGUUCUAUCAUGUCUCUGAUUUUGAUUUUGAUUUUGAUUUUUUCUGCAGAUUUCAGGAUAUAGAAGGCAGCUUCAGGAAGGGGUCGCUGACGAGGUGAGGCCAUUGCGUCUAUUCUUGUGUUAGUUUGUUUCAAAGAAAUCACACUAAUUUCUCUCAGUAUACUCUAUAGAGAAAUAAGUACUGAAGCAGGCUUCACCGAAGACUACUGAUCUAGAAUUGUCUGUUGCUGAAAUAAGUCCAGGAGCUAUGGAGCAGGCUGAACAAUUUUCUGUUGAUUUUACUCAAUGGAUUGUCCCUGUAAUUUGACCAAACGUCAUGUCGCCGUGCCACUGAAGUUUUUGCACAGAAUUCUUGUCUUUUUGGGUGGUGCCAAGCUGUCUUUUUGUUGAACAAUGCCACAAUUGCAUAGUUGUAAGUUAUUUAGGAUUGUCUCUAUUGCAUACGACCUGGAGUUACAAGAGGUCCAGUACUAAUUUUGUGUAUGUAUGUACAUGUGCAGUCGCCCAUUUUCUAUACACAUGAUUCCAAAACAUCUUUUACUGUACAUUUUGUUUCUUUGCUCGGUACAAAAUGUAUUGCAAGUGUUGUUCAUUUUUUUCCCUUCUGUAAAUAUACUAGAGACCCUCUAAGGGCUCAGUUUUCUUCCCGUUGUCUGAAUAUACCCAGAUUUAUUUUGUGUGUGCGUAUUUAACAAAGCAUUUAGUUAACC